CCUACGGGAGGCAGCAGUGGGGAAUAUUGCACAAUGGGCGAAACCCUGAUGCAGCGACGCCGCGUGAGGGAAGAAGGCUUUCGGUAUGUAAACUUCUAUCAGCAGGGAAGAACAUGACGGUACCUGACUAAGCAGCCCCGGCUAACUACGUACCAGCAGCCGCGGUCAUACGUAGGGCGCCCGCGGUCUCCGGAUUUACUGGGUGUAACGGGGGCGUGGGCGGUGCAGCAAGUCAGAAGGGAAAGCCCGGGGCUCAACUCCGGGACUGCUUUUGAAACUGUGGCACUAGAGUGCAGGAGAGGUAAGUGGAAUUCCUAGUGUAGCGGUGAAAUGCGUAGAUAUAAGGAGGAACACCAGUGGCGAAGGCGGCUUACUGGACUGUAAAUGACGCUGAGGCUCGAAAGCGUGGGGAGCAAACAGGAUUAGAUACCCUUGUAGUC
rnacentral:rRNA from 1 species